AACGAACGCUGGCGGCAUGCCUAACACAUGCAAGUCGAACGAUCCCUUCGGGGAUAGUGGCGCACGGGUGCGUAACGCGUGGGAACCUGCCCUUAGGUUCGGAAUAACUCAGAGAAAUUUGAGCUAAUACCGGAUAAUGUCUUCGGACCAAAGAUUUAUCGCCUUUGGAUGGGCCCGCGUUGGAUUAGCUAGUUGGUGGGGUAAAGGCCUACCAAGGCGACGAUCCAUAGCUGGUCUGAGAGGAUGAUCAGCCACACUGGGACUGAGACACGGCCCAGACUCCUACGGGAGGCAGCAGUGGGGAAUAUUGGACAAUGGGCGAAAGCCUGAUCCAGCAAUGCCGCGUGAGUGAUGAAGGCCUUAGGGUUGUAAGGCUCUUUUACCCGGGAUGAUAAUGACAGUACCGGGAGAAUAAGCCCCGGCUAACUCCGU
rnacentral:rRNA from 1 species